AGUUGAUGAUGUGAGCCACCGUAUGGACCACACUGAAAACACAGAUGAGCCAUCCGAUCAUUUUAUGGAAGUAGAUGUGCCGGUCAAGCGGUAGAAGCCAGUCCAUUCCUUUCGAGCGCAGCCAGGUGAAGCAUCUCCGUAGCCUUAGGAGAUGUAUACCUGAAGACCUGGCAAUUACAAUCCACGCACCUGAAUGCCUGUACCGAUAGACCCGUUCGGCAACCAGAACCAGAUGAAUGACAACCAAGAUGAUGCCGAAACUGAAACACGUCCGAUGAUUUCCCGCGUGAAUGAUCCAUCGUUCCAAUCGGCACAUCUUCCUUUACCUAAGAAGUAAAUCUGCAUGUCCGCGUUCACUUUCUCCGUCAACGAGGAGACCCUUCUUAUCUGAAUAACAAGAGGCCACUGUCAGCAGGUGAAGUCACGCCAUAAAUGAAAAAAAGGAAAAGAAGAAAGAAACGAAAAACAACGAUUCUUGUGAGGGUAGCACCAGUAGUCCAAAAAGAACAAAGCUCUCCUUUCGCUUCCCCAUCGGUAGCAGCGCUAUGCGUCUAGUCUACCUAGGUGUAUGUGCGUCUGCUAAAUCCCGCUUUUCUCUUUUUGCUCAACCCAUUUUUUUUUUUUUUUGCUCGCUUCUCUUUCGUUCCAUCUCUCUUUCUCUUUCUCCCUCUCUCUUUCUCUCCCGGCCGCGUGAGUGCGCUUAAUAUCCUCGGGUCCGUAAACACACGUAGAGACGGGCGGUGAAAGUGCGGACGCGCUACGAUGAGAAGGCUCUCCUACAGCACUCCCUCCCUGUGUGUACCGAGACAAUGGAUCAUCAAGACAGGACCCACAUUUCACCGUACUACACCUACACGGCUGCUUUUUAAAAACAGCGGCAAAAGGAGAGAAAUUGCAACUAGAAAUCAACGAAUAUGGAAUUAUACUCAAAAUAUUGUGCACACUAGUGGCCAGGAAGCACUUCUUUCUGAUAAAUGCCGAACGAAUGGAGAAUUUGGAACAAGUGGAGAACUAACCUGAGUGUUAAUUUUUUUUCUGGUUCUGGAUGAAGAACACAUACACAACGUGGAAGAAUUAUAACAUGUUGG